rnacentral:rRNA from 1 species
GUUUCCAGGGGAAGGUUUGUCCGCCCUGGGGGAGUCGGGACCUAAGCAUAAGCAAAAAUGUGAUGGCGAAUGGAAAACAGGUUAAUAUUCCUGUACCGCUGUUAUCGCCUGAGAGACGGAGUGACGCAGGAAGGUAUGCGGGAAGGCUGACGGAAUAGCCUUUCUAAGGGCGUAGCAUGGGCAUGCAGGAAAAUCCGCAUGCCUAAAUGUGAGACCUGACGGGUAAGUGCAUCUUGCAUAAGCCGCAGAUCCUACACUGCCGAGAAAAACUUCUAUCGAUGAGAACCAGCGCCCGUACUGUAAACCGACACAGGUGGACAGAGUGAGAAACUUAAGGCCGACAGGAUAACUCUAGCUAAGGAACUCUGCAAAAUAGCCCCGUAACUUCGGGAGAAGGGGUGCCUGAUAUACUUGAGGGGAGAGACACCCUGAGGGGAAACAGGCCGCAGUGAAGAGUCCCAAGCAACUGUUUACCAAAAACACAGGUCUAUGCUAAGCUGAAAGGCGACGUAUAUGGGCUGACACCUGCCCAGUGCCGGAAGGUUAAGAGGAGGAUUGAGAGAUUCGAAUUGAAGCCCCGGUGAACGGCGGCCGUAACUAUAACGGUCCUAAGGUAGCGAAAUUCCUUGUCGGGUAAGUUCCGACCUGCACGAAUGGUGAAAUGAUUUGGGAGCUGUCUUGGCUGGAGACCUGGUGAAGUUGUAAUGCCGGUGAAGAUACCGGCUACCUGCAGUAGGACGGAAAGACCCCGUGGAGCUUUACUGUAGUUUGGCAUUGGGUUCUGGCCGCAUGUGUAUAGGAUAGUUGGGAGACUGUGAAGCCAAGGCGUCAGUCUUGGCAGAGUCGCCGUUGGAAUACCAACCAUAUGCCGUCGGAAUUCUAAUCUGGAAACGGAGACAGUGCUAGAUGGGCAGUUUGACUGGGGCGGUCGCCUCCCAAAGAGUAACGGAGGCGUUCAAAGGUUCCCUCAGGCUGGAUGGAAAUCAGCCUAAGAGUGCAAACGCAUAAGGGAGCUUGACUGCAAGACUGACGGGUCGAGCAGGCACGAAAGUGGGAGUUAGUGAUCCGGCGGUUCCGUAUGGAAGGACCGUCGCUCAACGGAUAAAAGCUACCCCGGGGAUAACAGGCUGAUACUUCCCAAGAGUCCAUAUCGACGGAAGUGUUUGGCACCUCGAUGUCGGCUCGUCUCAUCCUGGGGCUGGAGAAGGUCCCAAGGGUUGGGCUGUUCGCCCAUUAAAGAGGCACGCGAGCUGGGUUCAGAACGUCGUGAGACAGUUCGGUCCCUAUCCACUGCAGGCGCUUGAGCACUGAAAAGAUCUGACCUUAGUACGAGAGGACCGGGUUGGACAGACCUCUGAUGUACCAGUUGUCACGCCAGUGGCAUGGCUGGGUAGUCACGUCUGGGACGGAUAACCGCUGAAAGCAUCUAAGCGGGAAGCCGGCUUUGAGAUGAGUGUUCGCAGUAUCCAUGGAGAACACAUGGUUGAUAGGCCAGGGGUGCAAGCGCAGCAAUGCGUUCAGCUGACUGGUACUAAUAUUACGUAUGCUUUUUAU